CGUGACGCGAGAGACGCUGGCGGCGUGCCUAAUACAUGCAAGUCGAGCGAAUGACGAGAAGCUUGCUUCUCUGAUUUAGCGGCGGACGGGUGAGUAACACGUGGGUAACCUGCCCUGUAGACUGGGAUAACUUCGGGAAACCGGAGCUAAUACCGGAUAAUUCUUUUAGCCUCAUGGCUUUAAGCUGAAAGGCGCUUCGGCGUCACUACAGGAUGGACCCGCGGUGCAUUAGCUAGUUGGUGAGGUAACGGCUCACCAAGGCAACGAUGCAUAGCCGACCUGAGAGGGUGAUCGGCCACAUUGGGACUGAGACACGGCCCAAACUCCUACGGGAGGCAGCAGUAGGGAAUCUUCCACAAUGGACGAAAGUCUGAUGGAGCAACGCCGCGUGAGUGAUGAAGGUUUUCGGAUCGUAAAACUCUGUUGUAAGGGAAGAAUAAGUGCGUUAGGUAAUGAACGCACCUUGACGGUACCUUAUCAGAAAGCCACGGCUAACUACGUG
rnacentral:rRNA from 1 species